CUUUAAAGGAGAUACUGUUAGAGAGAGACGAUCCGAGUCAUCCUUAAAUAUGGGCAGGAUAUCAGUCUUGGACUGUCUAACCUGCCGGAGCAGCACUGAAUGAUCACCACACAUGAGCAUGUUCCUGCAACAUUCAGCAUCUGAUCUGCCAUCUGUGUGCUUCUGCUUUUGUGUCAAAUGUCAACCAGCUGGAGAGGAAACUACACCAGUGUACUGGGAUGUUUCAGCAACACGUGCCAGAUGCUGUUCCUUCAUGGUGACAUCACCAGAGACAGCCCCGCCCACCUCAGGACCUCGCCAUUGAUCAUGAUGAUUAUAAUGAUGACAGCGAGCGGAACUAAGACUGUAAAAAUCCACGACCAGAAUGUUUAGAUGCUUUCUAAUUAUUCAUGAAUACUGAGAGCCUCUUUCUGUGUUUUGUCUGUUUUGGUUUUUUUACCUCAUUUGUUACUAACAAAGUUCACCAAACUCACUCAGUUUACAUUCUGUAUGUUUCCAUCUUUACCAGCCACACUCUUAACUGCAAUUAAGAAAACAAACCGUAGAAAUUGUCGUUUUUCUCUUUUGUAAUUGAUGAUAAUUCAGUGAAUAUACGGCGCUGCUUCCUUUUAUUUCGUCUCACAUUGCUUUAAGUUUUUCAGUGCUCAGUUAUUUUUUACUGUUGUUUGAAUUCUCUAAAGAUUUGGA